CUCAGCAGGGAGCAGCCAGACACUGGCGACAGGACGAGGCAGAGAAUCCCAGAGACGGAGAGGGAGAAGAAGCACCUGACAGAGGCACGUCUCAGCCAACACAUUCUGGUCUUGAGCUGCCUUGCUUCCCACCGUGAUACUAAUGGACUGGACCUCUGAACCUGAUUCACUCACUGACCUGGAAGGCUGCGGACAGAGGAGUCUACCACAGGCCGUGGCCCAAAUCCAUGCUCCAACUUG
rnacentral:sRNA from 1 species